rnacentral:lncRNA from 1 species
CGUAAUCCGCCGAUACUCUCAACGCCACCGCCUGUCCUCCCUCUGGUCCAGCCGUGUUCUCAAUCCAGAUGUUCUUAGCUGUGAAAUGUUCGCCAUCGAUUGCUGCAAACACACAGAAUUUGGAAAAGGUUAAUUUGUAAUUUCAAGCAUCUCUCUUUGGUGGAGUGGAAAAUCGAAACUCACUGACGGUGGCUGUUAGGAAAGUUUUGACUUUUCCGAGACCGAAAUUGAGGCUGCCGGUGAUUUUGGUCUUGGUUGGUCCAUCACCGAUGAAAGUGACGUAAGGCAUUUUCUUGGUUACUAUUACUUUCUCCUUGUAGAUACCUUGUUUGAUGUGGAUGACGAAUGGUAGUCUAUUGUCUUUAGGCACAGCAUUUAGAGCAUCGGCGAUGGUCUUGAACUGGCCACUUCCGUCUUGAGCCACCACGGCAUUAGCCUUGACUGGUGGUCCUCCUCCUUGUGGUGCUGCCAUUAGCCGUCGUGCCUCUGGUCCAACCCAUGUUGGGAUACCAUCUUUUGUAGACAAGAGCUUUCUGGCGUAGUUUGCAAGAGUUCCGGUUAGUCCUGUUACCAAGACGCAAAUUACGAUCUUUUUUUUUUCCCAUUUGUUCAGAUUGAUUGGCAAUGGAUAUGUUGGAGAUAUCUACCUGUGAUGUUGGAGUUAGGGAGAAUGGUGGAGAGGUCAGUAACCAUGGCAAGGCUAUUGCUGCUAAGCUCUCUUGAUGUUUUGAAGAUUUUAAGCAUGUCUUGCAAAAGAUUCGACUUAAUUUCCUCAAAGGAAUCCAUACAGGUUUCCUGGAAUGCGAUGGAGCCACUUAGCCAAACCCGAAGAUCCUCAACAAAGCCGUCAAUCUUUGCAACUGAGAACCCGUGAUCAACACACUUUUGCAGAUCAUCAAUAGCGUCAGUCAUCAGCUUCUCACACAGCUCGAAAGCACCC